AGAGGGCCCCUCCUGCCCGCCACGUUUCCUUCCUGCUGGGGGGCUUCUGUUCUCCCAGACCGGGUCGGUGCUCUUUUCCCCCGGCGCCCCUCCCCCACCCAGCCCGGGCCUUGCCUGCCGCAGCCACCUUCUUCUCUGAUGCUGUGUCCUGGACUUGGUGACAAUGGCAAAUUGACAAGAAGGCGAGCCUGGGCCUUUCCUGCGGCGACAUCCAGCUUCCCCCGCCCCUCCCUGGGUGGGUGCCCACCACACGCCCAGCCUGCCGCGUGCUUAUCCAGGCCCUCCAGGCCAGGCCUCCGGGUCUUAUGGAAGAAGGCCCCGUGUCUGGGCAGUGCCGUGGCUGUGAGUGAGCAUCCGGGGCCAGUCAGAUGUGCCGUCUCCGGAGGUCACUUCCAUAGUGGCCAUCAACAGCUUGGCCAAACUCGGCCGCAGGAUCUUUUCCUAUCAAUUGCAGGAUGGACUCUUCCCGCAGCCAUGCGACCUGUGGCCCGCGGUCCUGCUCCCUGAGCUGGAGGAGGCUGAACAGAAUGAGCAGGUUGAGGCCUGUGGGAAGGAAGAGCCACAUCUCCUUCAUGUUUAUUACCCCCUCCGCAGGCCAUAGCUAGGAGGCCUUGAAGGUUUUUUUAAGGGGGAAAGGGGGUUUCCAGAACCACAGCCGGCUCAGCAGAAAGUCUCCACCAACAGAAUCUGUGGGCGCACAUUCCUCAACAGCUGAAGAAGGGGCUGGAGGGGCUCAUGGCAUCCCCUCCAGAGGCAGGCCCAGGGCCCUGUGUGCAGUGGGGGGUCCUGCAUCUGCAUUGUUGUUAAGAAAGUGACAUUUGGCUACAUGGAGUGACUCAUGCCUGUAAUCCCAGCACUUUGGGAGGCUGAAGCUGUCAGAUUGCUUGGGCCCAGGAGUUCGAGAUCAGCCUGGGCAACUUGGUGAAACCUCAUUUCUUUUUUUUUGAGACAGGGUCUCACUCUGUAGCCAAGACUGGAGUGCAGUGGCACAAUCUCGGCUCACCGCAACCUCCACUUCCCAGGCUCAAGUGAUUCUCCUGACUCAGCCUCCCGAGUAGCUGGGAUUACAGGUGUGCACCACCACGCCUGACUAAUUUUUGUAUUGUUAGUAGAGACGGGGUUUCACCAUGUUGGCCAGGUUGGUGUUGAACUCCUGACUUCAAAUGAUCCACCUGCCUUGGCCUCCCAAAGUGCUGGGAUUACAGGCCUGAGCCACUGCGCCCGGACUUUUUUUUUUUUUUGAGAUGGAGUUUCGCUCUGUCACCCAGGCUGGAGUGUGGUGGCAUGAUCUCGGCUCACUGCAACCUCCACCUCCCAGGGUCAAGUGAUUCUCCUGGGUCAGCCUCCGGAGUAGCUGGGAUUACAGGUACGUACCAUCAUGCCUGGCUAAUUUUUGUAUUUUUAGUAGAGACAGGGUUUCACCACGUCUGCCACGCUGGUCUUGGACUCCUGACCUCAAGUGAUCUGCCCACCUCGGCCUCCCAAAGUGCUGGAAUUACAGGUGUGAGCCACCAUGCCCAGCCCUCAUUUCUACAAAACAUACAAAAAUUAGCCAGGCUUGGCACACACCUGUAGUCCCAAGUACUCAAGAGGAUGAAGUGGGAGGUUCACUUGAGCCUGGGGAGGUAGAGGCUGCAGUGAACCAUGUUCUUGCCACUGCACUCCAGCCUGUGUGACAGUGAGGCCCUGUCUCAAAAAAAAAAAAAAGGCAACACUUCUUGAGGCUGCUGGUUUUUCAGCCCUGCUGUGCUGCAUGCUUUUGGCGCUCACUCUAAUUCACAGGGCCUCGAGGGCGAGACUUCGGCUCACAGCUGUAUCCCAGGGCCUAGAACUGUGUCUGACAUAUACCAGAUUUCUUCCCGGUCAGCCCCAAACACUGAAUGUAAAUACGGUCCAACAUCAACCUGCAAACGAACACUGACAUGAAAGUGCAGUUGGAAAGGAUCUCGCAAAGGAACAGAAUCUGGUGAUCCUAAUCGUAAUGAACGUGAUCGCCGGGUAUUGAGAGCUUGCAGGUACCAGGGCUCCGGCACUACGUGUUUCACAGGGGCCACUCGGUAGACCUCUUGGUGACCUUGAGGUCAGGUACCACGUUCCCAUUUUACAGAGGAGGAAACUGAGAUAACCUACGACAGCGAAAAGGUAGCAGAGCUGGGACUGGUGCCCAGGCUCGCCGAGUGGAAAAGCCCUCGGCCACCGUGGAGAGCUCGCUUCCUGUGGUCUGAAGCGUCGCCCCUGCACCGGCUUCUGCUGCCAAGGAUGGCUUUUCCUCACUGGUGCCCACCUACGCUCACUUGUGUCAUGUGGUUAAGCCCUUUUGGCAACAUAAGACCUUUCCCAAGAAUGUGCCUCGGUGCAGAGGAAGACGGUGGGGGCAGGCCCCCUCCCCGGGAUGCUCCACCCUCCCUGACCUCACACGGGUGCAACCUGGGCCGUGGCCGAGACCUGCUGUGUGGCAGACAAUGGGAAGCCUGUGUGUCGUCCUGGGUGCCGGAUUUAGACAAUAUUUAGCUUUCCCUUGGUGGAAAAGCCUUUCCCCUCCUGCUUUGGGCAGGAACUGGUUCCUGUUGGGCGGGGCCUGGCUGCUGCCCCACCCCCACCCGGCCGGGCACCUUGACCGGCAGCUCUCCGGGCUGCUCCCUGCCUGUGUCCCUGAGCACUGACUCCAGAGGUUUAAUCAUUAACGGGCACGUUUGGCCUUCGGUCGUGGGCUGGAAUUUGGGACCUGUGCCCGGGAACAAUGAUCUCCGACACAUUAUUUUGUGUAAAAUCACUUUUAGCUGCCAUUAGCUAAUAAAGCUGGAAUAAAGUGAGGUCCAUUAACCAGCACUGGCCUCUCGGCCUCUGGGGCUCCUUGGGAGGGACCCAAGGGACUCACCUUUUGAGGACCGUGAAAUCGCCGCUAGAAAAUGUGCUUACAAUUGUGGUCCAGCACUGAAGCUGCUCAGUAUGUUUUCAGUCCCCUCUGUGGCAACCCCGUGUGUGGUUUUGGGGACUGGCAGAGUGCCCUGGAAGCGUGCCCACGUGCUGCAGAUCCACCAGAGGAAAUGCUCGGGAAACGCUGACGCCUGCUUUGCCCCCUGUUUCAGGGUCACCGAAUGAGAAGCUGUUGGGAUGAAUGGCUCCCCCACCCUCCUAGCCCGGGCCAGGGGUCGCCCAGCAGCAAUGCCCACCUCCCUUCGUCAUGGGAGGAGCUAGUGCUCCAGUCAGCCCUUUUCAUCCUGAGCUGUUUGCUGGAAGUCACCAGUGGGUAUCCACAGCGCAAGCCUCCUCUCUCUCCUUCCCCCAACCUCUGAGACAGCUGGCUGGAUGCUCCCUCCAACCCCAUUCCCCUGCCCUCUCCUGAGGACAGCUCUGUCGGGAGCAGGGCCUCCCAGCAAGAGCCAGCAGCUGCGCUGUUUCUGCUGCUCCAGCAUUUCGGGGGCAGCUGGCUGGAAGGGUAGGGGCGAUUUAGAGAGGCCCACUGGCAGGUGUGGUGAUGGGACUCCAUGUCUCCCGCAUGGGACGCCCCCUCCUCCCUGGGCUUCAUUCUUAGGGUCCCCAGUCAUUCUUCCCUGGGCACAGCCCUCCCUCUCUGUGCCUCAUUAGCUCAUCCCCAAGUCCACCCUACAGCUGGUCACCUCCGUCUUGGUGCAGCCUGCCUCCAUGGCCCCGCCUGAAUGCUGAGUGCCCAAGGGCCAGUGUUGCAAGGGGACCCCACCAGCCUUUCUACAGAGGCAACCAGAACCCUCUGGCCUCUCCCCAUCUUCCUGCCCUCCCACAUUUCUGCCUCCCUAGCUCUGCCCCCUGCCCCAGGAAGCUGAGGCUGCAAACUCAGAAUCUGCCUUCGCCUCUGGUGCGCUGCCAACUCCCCCUUGGGCAGGCCUGUCGCCUGCAGCCUGUGUCUGUGCUGCCCUCCACUGCCGUGGCAGUGCCCAGGCCAACUGGUCGGCAUGCUUGGGCUCAGGGACAACUUCACGGUCAGCACGUGGCUGUGCAUGGCCUUGGACACCUGGAACGUGGAGCCGGUCAGCCAGCAGCUUUCAGACAGGGAGGGGCCGAAGGGUCCAGGCCACACAGAGGGCCAGGGCCAGCAGCCAGGCACUGGCUGCCACCACCCGUUUUCCCCCAGCAGCCCUGGGCUCUCCCUUGGUGGCUCUGCUCUGUGACUGCGGGCUGGUUCUUGGACCUCGGUUCCCUGCUGUUCUGGGAGGCUCGGGGCCUAGCUGAACUUGGGGCCUUCCUGCCUGCCAGCCCCUGACUCCGGAUGGCCAGACACACUCCCAGAAACUCCACCCGGCCUCUUGUUGGCCACCGGAAGGGCUGGCGAGAGCUGCAGGAUGCGCACACCCCUAUUGAGGGCUUGCCCGCUGCCCCUCUGGGAGCCUUCCUGGAAUCCGGGAAAUGAAGGCGCUCUCAGGCAGGACACCCAGUCAGAUCCGUCUCGUGCAGGGCUCCGGGCCCCGUUCCUGGCCCUGCCAGGGAAGCCAGACCCGGCUGCCCA
rnacentral:lncRNA from 1 species